rnacentral:rRNA from 1 species
UACGUAGGGUGCGAGCGUUAAUCGGAAUUACUGGGCGUAAAGCGUGCGCAGGCGGUUCGCUGUGUCCGAUGUGAAAGCCCCGGGCUCAACCUGGGAAUGGCAUUGGAAACUGGCGGGCUUGAGUGCGGCAGAGGGGGGUGGAAUUCCGCGUGUAGCAGUGAAAUGCGUAGAGAUGCGGAGGAACACCGAUGGCGAAGGCAGCCCCCUGGGUCGACACUGACGCUCAUGCACGAAAGCGUGGGGAGCAAACAGG